rnacentral:pre_miRNA from 1 species
AAAGUACUCCCUCCGUUUCAAAAUUCUUGUCUUAGAUUUGUCUAUAUAUGAAUGUAUCUAGUAUAUUUAGAUACAUUCAUUUUUAGACAAAUCUAAGACACGGAUUUUGGGACGGAGGGAGCAUGGA